CCUACGGGAGGCAGCAGUGAGGAAUAUUGGUCAAUGGCCGAGAGGCUGAACCAGCCAAGUCGCGUGAGGGAAGAAUGUCCUAUGGAUUGUAAACCUCUUUUGUCAGGGAGAAAAGUCAGCCACGUGUGUGUUUUUGAGAGUACCUUAAGAAAAAGCAUCGGCUAACUCCGUGCCAGCAGCCGCGGUAAUCCGGAGGAUGCGAGCGUUAUCCGGUUUUAUUGGGUUUAAAGGGUGUUUAGGCGGGUUAUCAAGUCAGCGGUAAAAUCGUGGAGUUAAACUCCAUCCAGCCGUUGAAACUGACGAUCUGGAGUGGGCGAGAGGUAGGCGGAAUGCGUGGUGUAGCGGUGAAAUGCAUAGAUAUCACGCAGAACUCCGAUUGCGAAGGCAGCAUACCGGAGCGCGACUGACGCUGAAGCACGAAAGCGUGGGUAUCGAACAGGAUUAGAUACCCCUGUAGUC
rnacentral:rRNA from 1 species